GAUGAACGCUGGCGGCGUGCCUAAUACAUGCAAGUCGAGCGAACGGACGAGAAGCUUGCUUCUCUGAUGUUAGCGGCGGACGGGUGAGCAACACGUGGAUAACCUACCUAUAAGACUGGGAUAACUUCGGGAAACCGGAGCUAAUACCGGAUAAUAUUUUGAACCGCAUGGUUCAAAAGUGAAAGACGGUCUUGCUGUCACUUAUAGAUGGAUCCGCGCUGCAUUAGCUAGUUGGUAAGGUAACGGCUUACCAAGGCAACGAAGCAUAGCCGACCUGAGAGGGUGAUCGGCCACACUGGAACUGAGACACGGUCCAGACUCCUACGGGAGGCAGCAGUAGGGAAUCUUCCGCAAUGGGCGAAAGCCUGACGGAGCAACGCCGCGUGAGUGAUGAAGGUCUUCGGAUCGUAAAACUCUGUUAUUAGGGAAGAACAUAUGUGUAAGUAACUGUGCACAUCUUGACGGUACCUAAUCAGAAAGCCACGGCUAACUACGUG
rnacentral:rRNA from 1 species